GGAGACUGCCGGUGACAAACCGGAGGAAGUGGGGAUGACGUCAAGUCAUCAUGGCCCUUACGGCCUGGGCUACACACGUGCUACAAUGGUCGGUACAAAGGGUUGCCAAGCCGCGAGGUGGAGCUAAUCCCAUAAAGCCGAUCGUAGUCCGGAUCGCAGUCUGCAACUCGACUGCGUGAAGUCGGAAUCGCUAGUAAUCGUGAAUCAGAAUGUCACGGUGAAUACGUUCCCGGGCCUU
rnacentral:rRNA from 1 species